AUUGAACGCUGGCGGCAGGCUUAACACAUGCAAGUCGAGCGAGAGGCGGACGGGCGAGUAAUGUCUGGGAAACUGCCUGAUGGAGGGGGAUAACUACUGGAAACGGUAGCUAAUACCGCAUACCAUCAGAUGUGCCCAUAUGGGAUUAGCUAGUUGGUGGGGUAAUGGCUCACCUAGGCGACGAUCCCUAGCUGGUCUGAGAGGAUGACCAGCCACACUGGGACUGAGACACGGUCCAGACUCCUACGGGAGGCAGCAGUGGGGAAUAUUGCACAAUGGGCGCAAGCCUGAUGCAGCCAUUCCGCGUGUGUGAAGAAGGCCUUCGGGUUGUAAAGCACUUUCAGCGAGGAGGCGUUACUCGCCGAAUAAGCACCGGCUAACUCCGUGCCAGCAGCCGCGGUAAUAC
rnacentral:rRNA from 1 species